CUGAUCCCUUCCCGAACUCAGAAGUGAAACCUCUUAGCGCUGAUGGUAGUGUGGGAUUACCCAUGUGAGAGUAAGUCAUCGCCAGCU
rnacentral:rRNA from 2 species